rnacentral:lncRNA from 1 species
CUGAAUGAGGGUAGAUAAAUAUGGGACGUCAAUUAAUAUGACAUGAGUAACAUAUUUAUUACUCUCAAUUGUGCUCUUUGGUUUAUUUUAUUUGUCAUUUCAAGAACCAAAGUCCUCUUUUCCUAGAUUUAAUUUAUCCGCUAAUGAUCUAUGGGAGUUCUGCUUAUGCCUCUGUUCAUGACAAGGAACUAUGUUUUUGGCUAUUAUGAUCCUGAUGGUGAGUACUAGGAUUAUAAGUUUAUGUGCAUACAUUAGUUAUGACGUUAUUAUUGGUGUUAGAUACUUUAAUCCUGACAUCCAAAAUCUAAUUUAAAUAAUUUCUAUAAAAUCAUCCUAAUGUUGUGUUUUAGUUGUACCUUUCAAACAAACACCCAUCAAAGUGAAAUCAAUGUUAUCAUUUAUAACUAUAAUGUGAACAAUAUGGAACAGUAGGACAAAAGUUUGAUCUUAGUUAACUAAAAUGUUUCUCUAUGGUGUUCACUUAUAGGAUUCUGUAUCUUUAUUAAUACCAUACAUUAACUGUCUAUUUGUUCUCCAGUUAAUUUCUCACACUACAGGUUCACUUUUGCUCCAGAUAAUUGCUUUGUUGCAGCUUAAUUGAAUCAUGUUGUAGGAAAACAUGUUUUCAUUCUGAUAGUCUCAUUUCCCAGGUUAGGAAAUUACCUCUCAUUCAUAAUUGCCUCCAAGAACAUCCAGACAACAUGAUGUAAAAUGGAUGUUCUUAAUUUGAUAAUGUUAUUUUGCGUGCUUAUACCUACGCAAGCUUUGAUUAUUCUUGUCGGUGGCUUGUUUUGUACAAUUGCUAUUUUAUAUUCAAGAAAUAUACUUUAUCUGUGAAAUACUUCUAGGCAGUUGGAUUUUAUGUUGCAUUUGCUCAGUACAAGUUUGAUAUACUAACAGUUUUAUGAUUCUGUUUUGGAAGAUCGUAUUGAUUCAGUAGACAAGCGUCUUUUGACUGCUUGUGCGGUGGAUGCCAGAACCGGUAUCAACAUGAUGUAGAACAUAUCGCCAUUUGAAUUUGAUUUAUGAGGAUAGAGCGGAGGAAAUUCUAUUUUACAAGUUCACUCUUUUGACAAAGAGAAGAAUUUUUAUUACCAAGUAUCACUUUUCAUGUUUGGAUGACAGCAUCACGCGACAAUCACAUAUCGGAAGAAACGGGAACUCAAAAUCUCAAUUACUCAGUCGACUGUCUCCUCCUCGAGUAGAAUAAGCAAAAAAGAUCAUUUUACAUUGAAUUAAGCCUUAACUAUAUAUCCAUGUCCUGAGGACCUCUUUUGAAUGUGUUUGCAGAUUGCGAAAUGAUGUGAAUGGGAUUCUGCUUCCGAUGAUGGUCAUCUGAAUUGCUGUAUCUUGAUAGUGUCUAGAUCUUUGUGAGUCUACCUUUUCUUCUUCUUUCUCAUGUCUGUUGUAAAUAGUAUUUGCAUCUAUCAUACUGCUUGAUUGUAAAAAAUAAAUAUUUUCCUAAUGAGUCUUGAUCAGGAGGAAAUGCUUUAUUCUUUUAUUCAGAGUUCAUGUCCUGAAUGAUUGUUAACAUGCAUUUUUUACUUAUAAUUACUGAAUACAAAAUGAUCUCUUUCAG